GACGUAGGGCGCGAGCGUUGUCCGGAUUUAUUGGGCGUAAAGAGCUCGUAGGCGGCUUGUUACGUCGACUGUGAAAUCCCGCGGCUCAACUGCGGGCUUGCAGCCGAUACGGGCAGGCUAGAGUUCGGUAGGGGAGACUGGAAUUCCUGGUGUAGCGGUGAAAUGCGCAGAUAUCAGGAGGAACACUGGUGGCGAAGGCGGGUCUCUGGGCAACAACUGACGCUGAGGAGCGAAAGGCGUGGGGAGCGAACAGG
rnacentral:rRNA from 1 species